rnacentral:rRNA from 1 species
UAGGGAAUAUUGGUCAAUGGACGCAAGUCUGAACCAGCCAUGCCGCGUGAAGGAUUAAGGCCCUCUGGGUUGUAAACUUCUUUUAUAGGGGAAGAAAUGUGACGGUUCUCCGUCACUUGACGGUACCCUGGGAAUAAGCACCGGCUAACUCCGUGCCAGCAGCCGCGGUAAUACGAAGGGUGCAAGCGUUAUCCGGAUUCAUUGGGUUUAAAGGGUGCGUAGGCGGGAUAGCAAGUCAGUGGUGAAAUCCCGUGGCUUAACCACGGAAUUGCCAGUGAUACUGCUGUUCUUGAGUACGCUCGACGUGGGCGGAAUGUGCCGUGUAGCGGUUAAAUGCUUAGAUAUGGCACAGAACACCGAUAGUGAAGACAGCUCACGAGGGCGAAACUGACGCUGAGGCACGAAAGCGUGGGGAUCAAACA